UUUAAACGUUUUAGUGUAUACUUAUACAGACAUAUGUAUGUAUAUAUAUAUAUAUAUUCCAGUUAAAUCCCGAAAUUCGUCAAAACUAGUUUUCAAAAAUCCCUUCGGUCAAUUCUAGUUUCGACUAGUUCAAACUAGAAUUCACUAAGACUUUCACCGAUAAAACUAGAUUUAACUUAUUUUUGUUUAGUCGGAACUAGUCGUGUCUGAAAUAUAUUGGCGAAAACUAGAAUUAACUAGUGAAAAUCCGUAAGUUUUAUUUGUAUAGUUUAAACUAGUUGCGCGAGACAAACGCACACGUAAGUACAACGACUACAACGAAAACAAACGAACUGGCAAAACCGAAAACACAGGGACAAACAAAAGCUGAAUUAUUAUCUAUUAGGUAUAAUCGGUCGGAGUUAUCAUGUCUAAAAGUGAUUUGAUGGACGACUGGGCAAAGUUAUCUUAAUCGAUUUGAUAGCCGGCCAGUCGAAUUUAUGGAGCAAUAUUUAUAGAGAUCGCGUGCAAUUGCGUGCGUUUUAUAUAGUGCAGGUUAGAAUACAUGCUUUUCAAUAAAAACUAGUUUUGAUUGACUUAUUUAAAUCUGUUAUCAUUUCUGGUUUUAACUAGUCAAAACUAGAAUUGACUAAAAGGAUUUGUGGAAACUGAUUUUCACUAGUUAAAACUACUUUUGACGGAUUUCGGAUUUUAACCUUAACAUAUAUAUAUAUUAUAGACUCUAGUAUGUUUUGUGAUCAGUAAUUACUCAAUAAAAUAAUCUAUUAUACGAACGAAUGGUGC